GGCGAAGGAGAAUGUGCUCAAGUCUGGGACGAAGCUGCAGAAGAUUACGAACCCGAAGACGCUGAAGAAGAUUGCGAAGUCGAAGGAGAGGAAGCUGCUGAAGGUCGUGCCGGAUGAUGUGGUUAAUGGUGGGAGCAAGAAGGGGAUGAAGACGAAGAAGUAAGCAUGGGAUGUAUUUCUUGGUGAACAACUGGUAGAUGGGACAAGCACAUUUUUUAUGGAUUCAGGGUCGCCCGAGAAGGAUUUUGUACAAUGGUUCGGCGUCAAGGACGUAACGUGUACAUUAGAUUUGAGCUCGGCACUCCGGAGUUUAAGCUUUAUCUUUCCCAAUGAAUCACUAAUGUCAACAUUAAAUCCUAAUUAAGUGUUGUUUUUCAUAUA